GUUAUUUCGCAAAAUUUAUUUAUUUAUUACGAAUUUUAUCUGAAUAAAUUCUUUUACACGUAUUAUUAAAAAUGAGCUUAAAGAAGUUAAUUUAAAAUCUGUUUGCAAUUUGCUUGUGGUUAAAGUUGUUGAUUCCUGAUCCGUUAUAGACUUUAACACAUUAAUAAAUUAGUCUCUAUCAAUUUUUUUUUAAAAAAUUCUUUAAACAAAUUAAUUUUAAUUCAUGUUACAAACUGUAAUUUUCACAAGAACAAUACAAAUGUCAAUACAAUGAGUUACAGCGAAAUAGGAUUAGUUUCUCAGAAAAGCCUUGGUACAAAUAGUGCUAGUGUUACUCAUACUUGUUCAAUGUGCAACUUUACUACACCUUGGAAAAGCCAUUUGAAGAGGCAUUUUGUUGUUCACACCGGUACUGGAAUGUAUUUAAAGAAAUUGAAUGUUCUAAGCUUGGAGGAGUUACAUAUUACACUUGUUCUUUGUGUGCUUAUAAAACUCCUAAUAAAAGCCAUUUAAAAAGGCAUCAAGUUGUACAUACUGGUGAAAGACCUUAUGUAUGCCCAAUAUGUAAAAAAGGUUUCACCCAAAGAGACACUUUGAAGUAUCAUGUAGCUCUUCACUGUGGCCUUGUUAAUUUCUGUUAAUCUGGUUUAAUGAAUAAAAAAAUCUCAAAUAAAUGUGAGAAUUUUAGUUGAAGGAUAUCUGAUGUGAUAUUUUAACCAAAAGGAACCAAAAGGAGAAAACAUGACCUAUUCUCUUGUUGAAUGUGAUUAUUCCACUCUACCUCAAGAUCAAUUGAAGAAUGUACAACAACCUACUAAUGUUUUUCUUGAAAUCACUACAGAUCCUACUGCUAGCUUUGUCCAAAAAAACAACAGGAGACAACCAAGUGAAGUGUGGGAUCAUUUUUCAAAAAUUGAUAAAUUUACAUCAAGAUGCCUAUAUUGUGGUGCAGUAUUAAGUUCAAAAUCAACUAUUUCCAAUUUAAAAAGACAUCUUAUUAUGAGACACCCAACUGCUCGUUUUAAAUCAGAUAUGACUCCAUAUAAAAGAAAAUAGCUUUUGAGUCAAAGCAAAUAUAUUACAGAUAGCAAUAAUUUUCUAUUCUAAAACUUAAUCAAGUAAAAAUUGAACCAGAGGAAAACAAAGCAAAUAUCAUAAGUUUCUGUAUGCCAAAUGAUUGUGUUAUGCCUCCUGACAAUUUGUCCUUUGAAAUUGCCGAAGAACAUGUAGAUAACAUUCCAUGUCCUAUUGAUAUUUCUCUUGAAAGUAGCAACCAAGAAAUUAAAAUCUCUUCCCAAGCAAAUACAAUGUCUCCAAGUUCAUCAAAAAUUAAGAGGAAGAGGAAGCGCAAAGGCAAAAAAGAUGAUUUUUUUAUUAUUCAUGGAAAAUACUUUCCACCCCUAAGGAACCUAUCUCCUACCCACAUAGAAAAUAAUGAAAUAGAUUUCUCUGCUAAGCUGCCCACCUGCUCUUCAAGAAAAAACCACAAGCCUUUUAUUCCUGCUUCAAAAAGACUAAAAAAUGUUGGUCACAUAGCAAUGAGAUCGACUAGUAGAAGAUGUGCACUUUGCAGCAUCAAAACAAGUGUACACCGCACUAAAUGGGCAUGUUCCACUUGUAAAGUGCCACUGUGCAUGCAAAGAGAUAAAGUUCCUACAUGUUUUCAAAAAUUCCAUCAAGAAUAAUUAUUUUAAUAAUAAAUCUACUUGUUUUAGUUGAUAUUUUUGUUUUGAAAUUUAUUUUAAUAAUUUAUAAUCAUGUAGUUUUUGUUUAAUUUUAUUUAACUUUUUAUUUGCAUGGUGUUUGACAAACAAUCAUAAUAGUUAAUAACAUUUAUUUUUAAAUAUGAAACUUUUUUUAAUUCAAAAUAUAUAAAUAUAUAUUGUUUAAAGUAUACUAGGCCUUUUGUAUGUUUAUAUUUUAGAAAAUACGAGAAGAUAUAGGAAAUUUAUGUAUCUAUUUUAUAUAUUCCUUUUAAGUUUUGAUUUAGAAAUUGUGUGUACAUAAAUAAUCCCUCAUAAGUAUUCAAUAAUCUAAUUAGACUUACAAUUUUGGUUCUUAUUAUUCACAUAGUCUUAUUAUUUCAUAUUCUUUAUCAAUUAAUUGUACAAUGACUAAUGAAAAAUUACUAAAAAUGGAUAUUUUUUCAAUUUAAAAUAAAUUUAGUUUUCCCAUUUUUAUACCUUAAAUAUAUCUUAAGAAAUGGUUUAACAUUUUAGUUGCAAAACUAUACUUUAUGUAUAUUACAUAUUAGCUAUAAAAAUACUCAUCAGAACACAGAAUCAUAGUUUUAUUUUUUCAAAUUCCUUCCCUUUAACAAUUAAUUAAUCAAUUUUUGAUAAAGGAGAAAUAAUGAAUUUUUUAAAAUUUAGAAUUCAUUUUUUUACUUUAAAAAUGUGUCCUUCAAAAUGAUUAUAAUAAUUGAAAAACAGUACUGAUAGCUGCAACUUUUACUUAAUUGAUAUAUAAAAUGAAGCAUCUCAAAACAAAAUUUUCAUAUUUCUUGAAUUUCAUGAUACAUGUUAAUUUUUAUUGACAUUAUGUUUUUUUUGUUAUAAAAUUUUUUCGUGGAAAGUUAAAAUAAAUUGUCAU